rnacentral:lncRNA from 1 species
GAACUACCAUCUGUCAUAGUCUUAGCCUUGGGUAAGGCUAAGACCUCAUAGAUGCAGCAUGCAUUAGCCCCAUACACAACCCUUGCCCAAGGUUUGUACUUCGUCAGAACUAGGAAAACACAACUAACUCUUGGGCACAGUUUGUAACUAAGAUGACACUUAAAUUUAAAAGACUCGCAUGCAACAGAAACAAGCCUUGCCCGAGGCUUACAUCUUGACCUGCAGUAUGCUUAAAGAAAAGGCAUGCUUUUUGAAAUUUAAGAAGAUAUCCUCUCUGUCGUGAUCUAAAGGCCAAAUAUUAUGAGGAA